UACGAAGGGGGCUAGCGUUGUUCGGAUUUACUGGGCGUAAAGCGCACGUAGGCGAUCGUUAAGUCGGGGGUGAAAUCCUGGAGCUCAACUCCAGAACUGCCUUCGAUACUGGCGAUCUUGAGUCCGGAAGAGGUGAGUGGAACUCCUAGUGUAGAGGUGGAAUUCGUAGAUAUUAGGAAGAACACCAGUGGCGAAGGCGGCUCACUGGUCCGGUACUGACGCUGAGGUGCGAAAGCGUGGGGAGCAAACAGG
rnacentral:rRNA from 1 species